rnacentral:piRNA from 1 species
UAGCAGAUUCAUUAGGUUCCUCCUUUC